AGUGAACGCUGGCGGUAGGCCUAACACAUGCAAGUCGAACGGCAGCACAGUAAGAGCUUGCUCUUACGGGUGGCGAGUGGCGGACGGGUGAGGAAUACAUCGGGAUCUACUUUUUCGUGGGGGAUAACGUAGGGAAACUUACGCUAAUACCGCAUACGACCUACGGGUGAAAGCAGGGGAUCUUCGGACCUUGCGCGAUUGAAUGAGCCGAUGUCGGAUUAGCUAGUUGGCGGGGUAAAGGCCCACCAAGGCGACGAUCCGUAGCUGGUCUGAGAGGAUGAUCAGCCACACUGGAACUGAGACACGGUCCAGACUCCUACGGGAGGCAGCAGUGGGGAAUAUUGGACAAUGGGCGCAAGCCUGAUCCAGCCAUACCGCGUGGGUGAAGAAGGCAUUCGGGUUGUAAAGCCCUUUUGUUGGGAAAGAAAAGCAGCAGGUUAAUACCCCGCUGUUCUGACGGUACCCAAAGAAUAAGCACCGGCUAACUUCGUG
rnacentral:rRNA from 1 species